AGUCACUGACAAAGCUGCGGCAUCCAGCAGAGGGCGCGCCAGGCGCCAGCACCAGGCUGGAGGACGCCUGGCUCAGCCCCAGGCCGGCUUCCGGGAGCCCCGCCAAGUGCAGGGGGAUACCCCGUCCUUGGCGGCUGCUUGCCUUUCUCCGUACUGUCCCUGUGAAGGUCAAGAUCUAUAACGUUGAGAGUCCCCAGACAUACGAUGGGAGAGUUGCACCUACUCAAUGUGGGAGACAACCAGGGUGACGACUUUUGCAAUGAUCCACUUCCACAUAACGAAUGCUAUAUAUCCAACUGUAUUUCCAGCGAUCUGUGGAAGAUUGGAUUUUCUUCACAUACUUCAAGCAAAACAAAUUGCAACAAAUCAAAUGCAGAAGCAGAUGCGAUAUCCAACUAUAUUCUACUAAGCCAGAUGUAGAAGACAUUUGCAAAAGACAUUUGAAAAAAGGUCAGACUUUCCCACAGGACUCAGAGGCCUGUACUGACCCAUCAGGGCUGAAAGAGAAAUCUUUUCUUGUCAAGAUGCCACAGAAAUGGACUCAAUUCUGCAGGGAUUUGAGACUCAAAUCCCCAUUCCGACUCAAUUCUGCAGGGAUUUUCAGAGGGCGGGCAGGCAGAUUAUAAUAUCCAAAAAUGGCCACAAUUUCUCCCUGGAGAGGUAGGGGUCUAUGAUCCCUCUCCUUGAACUACGGUCCCUCCCCUUUGUCACUGGCUUGGCCGAUAGAGUUCAGCUAUGUGACUUCUGAGGCUACAUCACAAAAGGUGAUACAGCUGCUACCGGACUCUUCUUCUUGGAAAGCCCACCCUUGGAGCCCAGUGACCACGUUGUGAGGAAGCCCAGGCCACAUGGAGAGGCUACAUGUGGGUGUUCCAGCCAACAGCUCCAGUGAAGGGCCCAGCUGGAGCCGGCACGGAUCCUAGGACACGUGAGGGAGGGAGUCUGAAGGUGGUUCUUGCCUCCAGCCUUAGCGCAGCCCCCUGCUUUUUAUAAGUGUAUUAGAGCAGAGAUUUCCCCACAAAACUCUGCCCAAAUUGGACAUCUGUGAGCAAAAUAAAUGUUUGAAGCCGC